CUUCAUUGGUGAUCUCCCAUUUGUGCCUUUGUGUCUGGGUCAGAGAAGCCCUGUAAUGGAACCUAAGGGCUUUUAAG